GAUGAAGAACGUAGCGAAAUGCGAUAAGUAAUGCGAAUUGCAGAAUUCAGCGAGUCAUCGAAUCUUUGAACGCAUAUUGCGCCCCUUGGUAUUCCGGGGGGCAUGCCUGUCCGAGCGUCAUUGCUGCCCUCAAGCACGGCUUGUGUGUUGGGCCUCCGUCCUCCUCCCGGGGGACGGGCCCGAAAGGCAGCGGCGGCACCGCGUCCGGUCCUCGAGCGUAUGGGGCUUCGUCACCCGCUCUUGUAGGCCCGGCCGGCGCUUGCCGACACAUCAAUCUUUUUUCCAGGUUGACCUCGGAUCAGGUAGGGAUACCCGCUGAACUUAAGCAUAUCAAUAAGCGGAGGA
rnacentral:misc_RNA from 1 species